GCCCCGGUAGCUCAGCUGGAUAGAGUAGUAGGUUCCUAACCUAUUGGUCGCAGGUUCGAAUCCUGCCCGGGGCGCCA
rnacentral:tRNA from 1 species